GAAAAUUGAAAAAGCAAAUGAAAGGCAUUGAGCUCAAUUGUUGUGAAAAGAGAAAAUUCAUGAGAAAAAGAAAAGAAAAGAAGAAAAGCAUGAAGAAGAGCUCAAUGCAAAAGAAAAAGAAAAGGGAAAAAUUGGGAAUGAGAGACAUUGGUGAGAGUGGUGCUUAAAUGUUGAAUAUUUUGUAUUCUAGAAAAACCAAUUCUUCUUUCUUGUUAGCCCAACCUGAUUACAAGCCUUGGAAAAGUCCUUUUGAUGGCAUUUGCAUGUGAAGAUGUUGAUUGUUUGAGAUGAACGGCAAUUUUGUUUAUGAGACUUGUGAAUAAUUGAGAGUUGGAGUGUCACCUUAAACACUUGAGUGAUUGAGUGAAACACUUGCUUGGUAUAAUUUGAUAAUUUUCAUGAGUACAUUUUUGCUUAGUGGAUUCAUCAUUCAUAGUAUAUAACAUCUAUUGUGCAAUCUAUGGGUUGAAAGCAUGCAUGCAUCUUAUUUUGGAUUUCACUGAGGAUAUUGAAUUGAGUGGUUUUGUCUUGAACCUUGGGAUUGUUGAGGCAUUAGAUGAAACAGUAUAAAGCCAAGUUUUGUUUUGUGUGAUUGUUUUGUUUGUUUUGCCUAAAGACAAGCAAAAUUCUAAGUUUGAGGUGUUGAUGAAGGUUGCACAACUAUUAUUUUCAUAUGUCAAUUUGGACCAAAUUACACCCUUUACUACUUGGAAUAAGC
rnacentral:lncRNA from 1 species